rnacentral:rRNA from 1 species
AGAGUUUGAUCCUGGCUCAGGAUGAACGCUGGCGGCGUGCUUAACACAUGCAAGUCGAGCGAUGAAGUUUCCUUCGGGAAACGGAUUAGCGGCGGACGGGUGAGUAACACGUGGGUAACCUGCCUCAUAGAGUGGAAUAGCCUUCCGAAAGGAAGAUUAAUACCGCAUAACGUUGAAAGAUGGCAUCAUCAUUUAACCAAAGGAGCAAUCCGCUAUGAGAUGGACCCGCGGCGCAUUAGCUAGUUGGUGGGGUAACGGCCUACCAAGGCGACGAUGCGUAGCCGACCUGAGAGGGUGAUCGGCCACAUUGGGACUGAGACACGGCCCAGACUCCUACGGGAGGCAGCAGUGGGGAAUAUUGCACAAUGGGGGAAACCCUGAUGCAGCAACGCCGCGUGAGUGAUGAAGGUUUUCGGAUCGUAAAGCUCUAUCUUUGGGGAAGAUAAUGACGGUACCCAAGGAGGAAGCCACGGCUAACUACGUGCCAGCAGCCGCGGUAAUACGUAGGUGGCGAGCGUUAUCCGGAUUUACUGGACGUAAAGGGAGCGUAGGCGGAUGAUUAAGUGGGAUGUGAAAUACCCGGGCUCAACUUGGGUGCUGCAUUCCAAACUGGUUAUCUAGAGUGCAGGAGAGGAGAGUGGAAUUCCUAGUGUAGCGGUGAAAUGCGUAGAGAUUAGGAAGAACACCAGUGGCGAAGGCGACUCUCUGGACUGUAACUGACGCUGAGGCUCGAAAGCGUGGGGAGCAAACAGGAUUAGAUACCCUGGUAGUCCGCGCCGUAAACGAUGAAUACUAGGUGUGGGGGUUUCAACACCUCCGUGCCGCCGCUAACGCAUUAAGUAUUCCGCCUGGGGAGUACGGUCGCAAGAUUAAAACUCAAAGGAAUUGACGGGGACCCGCACAAGUAGCGGAGCAUGUGGUUUAAUUCGAAGCAACGCGAAGAACCUUACCUACACUUGACAUCCCUUGCAUUACUCUUAAUCGAGGAAAUCCCUUCGGGGACAAGGUGACAGGUGGUGCAUGGUUGUCGUCAGCUCGUGUCGUGAGAUGUUGGGUUAAGUCCCGCAACGAGCGCAACCCUUGUCGUUAGUUACUACCAUUAAGUUGAGGACUCUAGCGAGACUGCCUGGGUUAACCAGGAGGAAGGUGGGGAUGACGUCAAAUCAUCAUGCCCCUUAUGUGUAGGGCUACACACGUGCUACAAUGGCUGGUACAGAGAGAUGCAAUACCGCGAGGUGGAGCCAAACUUAAAAACCAGUCUCAGUUCGGAUUGUAGGCUGAAACUCGCCUACAUGAAGCUGGAGUUACUAGUAAUCGCGAAUCAGAAUGUCGCGGUGAAUACGUUCCCGGGUCUUGCACACACCGCCCGUCA